AGUGAGCCAAGAUCAGGCCAUUGCACUCCAGCCUGGGUGACAGAGUGAGAGUCUGUCUCAAACAAAAAUAAAAAUAAAAAAGAGGAAAAAUCAGGCACAAGUAUGCAGAGAAAGGUGAAGGACUUCUCCAAGCUCUGUCUGGGUUCUGCUGUCAAUGGUGUUGUCCAGUAAGUAUCCCCAGGCAGAAAUAAGAGGCUAUUGUAGGGGUUGCAUUGUUUGUGUCUCUUCUCAACUGGAGAAAAACAGUCCUUAGCUGCUGAUUGUCUAAUGUUUGAAAAUGAUUUUUUAUAUAGUUUGUCUAGUUUUCUAGUUGUUUAUAGUGGAAUCAGUCAUUAGCUCCUGAUUAGAAUCUCUCAUCUACUGAACUUUUUAUUUUAAUUUAAAACUUCUUAAAAUGUUAUAUUUUAAUUUUGUUACAGAAUAUAGUAAUACAUUAUCCUAGUGUAAAAUUUAAAAGGUAAGUAAUACAUAGUAAAAAAAAAUUCCUCCCACUUUCACUCCCGGAAGUAACUGAUGUUACAAAAUUUUUCUGUCUUUUAAAGUUAUUAUAUGUAUCUACAAAACAAAACACAGGAAACUAGCCAUAAUAAAAUAAUGGGGUCUAAAGGAAUUCAAUCACAUAAAAUGUUAGGUCAAAUUUAUUGUGAGAUUAAUAAAAAUUAUACUUUUGUUAAACUAUUUCUCUCACAAAAAGCACAAAAUGAUUGUGAAACUUACAGCACACGUUGCUGACUAGUGAACUGAGUAACCGCCAUUGAUUGUGAGGCAGUGACUUCUAUGUCCUCUUCCCCAUCUCAUUACUUACAAGUCAUGUAUAAGAGUCUCCUUUGUUCUAUAAUUUCUCUGACAGUUGUGAUUGAAAUUUUCAAUUUUUGUCAAGCUGGCUAAUGUAAAACAUCAUCCUGUUCUAUGUUUAAUAGCAUUUCCCUGAUUACUAAUAUGAAGCAUUAUAUAUUGCCUAUUCAUGUUUCAUAUUUUGUAUAAUGUCUAUAUCCUUUGUUCAUUAUUUAAUUGUGUUAUUUGUAUUCUUUAUGUAUUAUUCUUUAACACAUUGCUGUUUAUAUGUUGGUUAUAUUUUACAUUUUCUUCUAGUUUAUGGGAAGUCUUUUUCUUUUCCUAAGGCAAUCUGUUGAUAAAUAUAACCUGUGAAUAUUAAAGUUAUUAAAGUUAUCAAACAUUUGAGAUAAAUUUAUUCAUUAGCUCUUUAUGAGUUAUUGGUUUUUUUCAGGUUAAAAGAAAUAACUUCUUUUUUUGUUUUUUGAUGUGAAGAACUUGGUGGAGAAAUUAAAAUUUCAGAUGCAGAAAAAGAAGCAAGAAAAUUUCUGGAAUGACAGGCAUGAGUAGAUAACAGGUGUGAUGGUUAAUACUGAGUGUCACCUUGCUUGGAUUGAAGGGUGCAAAGUAUUGUUCCUGGGUGUGUCUGUGAGGGUGUCACCAAAGGAGAUUAACAGUUGAGUCAGUGAACUGGGAGAUGCAGACCCACCCUCAGUCUGGGUGGUCACCCUCUAAUCAGCUGCCAGCACAGCUAGGAUAAAAGCAG
rnacentral:lncRNA from 10 species